AACGAACGCUGGCGGCAUGCCUAACACAUGCAAGUCGAACGAGCCCUUCGGGUCUAGUGGCGCACGGGUGCGUAACGCGUGGGAACCUGCCCUUAGGUUCGGCAUAACUCCCCGAAAGGGGUGCUAAUACCGGAUAAUGUCUUCGGACCAAAGAUUUAUCGCCUUUGGAUGGGCCCGCGUUGGAUUAGCUAGUUGGUAGGGUAAAAGCCUACCAAGGCGACGAUCCAUAGCUGGUCUGAGAGGAUGAUCAGCCACACUGGGACUGAGACACGGCCCAGACUCCUACGGGAGGCAGCAGUGGGGAAUAGUGGACAAUGGGCGAAAGCAUGAUCCAGCAAUGCCGCGUGAGUGAUGAAGGCCUUAGGGUUGUAAAGCUCUUUUACCCGGGAUGAUAAUGACAGUACCGGGAGAAUAAGCUCCGGCUAACUCCGUG
rnacentral:rRNA from 1 species